rnacentral:rRNA from 1 species
UGGGGAAUAUUGGACAAUGGGCGCAAGCCUGAUCCAGCAAUGCCGCGUGAGUGAUGAAGGCCUUAGGGUUGUAAAGCUCUUUCGCACGCGACGAUGAUGACGGUAGCGUGAGAAGAAGCCCCGGCUAACUUCGUGCCAGCAGCCGCGGUAAUACGAAGGGGGCUAGCGUUGUUCGGAAUUACUGGGCGUAAAGGGCGCGUAGGCGGCCUGUUUAGUCAGAAGUGAAAGCCCCGGGCUCAACCUGGGAAUAGCUUUUGAUACUGGCAGGCUUGAGUUCCGGAGAGGAUGGUGGAAUUCCCAGUGUAGAGGUGAAAUUCGUAGAUAUUGGGAAGAACACCGGUGGCGAAGGCGGCCAUCUGGACGGACACUGACGCUGAGGCGCGAAAGCGUGGGGAGCAAACAGGAUUAGAUACCCUGGUAGUCCACGCCGUAAACGAUGAUGCUAGACGUCGGGGUGCAUNCAGCUUCGGUGUUCGCCGCUAACGCAUUAAGCAUUCCGCCU